UACGAAAGGGGCUAGCGUUGUUCGGAAUUACUGGGCGUAAAGCGCACGUAGGCGGCCUAGCAAGUUGGGGGUGAAAUCCCAGGGCUCAACCCUGGAACUGCCUUCAAAACUGCUAAGCUUGAGGAUGUGAGAGGUGAGUGGAAUUCCGAGUGUAGAGGUGAAAUUCGUAGAUAUUCGGAAGAACACCAGUGGCGAAGGCGACUCACUGGCACAUUUCUGACGCUGAGGUGCGAAAGCGUGGGGAGCAAAC
rnacentral:rRNA from 1 species